GCGAGUAUGGCCCUCACGGGUCUAAUCCACCAUAAACACCUUUGUGAGCCAGUCAGGGGGACUCGGCCGUGAAAGCCCAGGCGAUUAGCGGAAGGGCCCUCCUUUGCAAACCCGUUUAGAAGUCUUGAAAGUACUUUUGUAUAAUCUAGUA
rnacentral:misc_RNA from 1 species